rnacentral:rRNA from 1 species
AUUGAACGCUGGCGGCAUGCCUUACACAUGCAAGUCGAACGGCAGCACGGGGCAACCUGGUGGCGAGUGGCGAACGGGUGAGUAAUGCAUCGGAACGUACCUUUCAGUGGGGGAUAACGUAGCGAAAGUUACGCUAAUACCGCAUAUUCUGUGAGCAGGAAAGCAGGGGAUCGCAAGACCUUGCGCUGAUUGAGCGGCCGAUGUCAGAUUAGCUAGUUGGUGAGGUAAAGGCUCGCCAAGGCUACGAUCUGUAGCGGGUCUGAGAGGAUGAUCCGCCACACGGGAACUGGGACACGGUCCAGACUCCUACGGGAGGCAGCAGUGGGGAAUUUUGGACAAUGGGGGCAACCCUUAUCCAGCCAUGCCGCGUGAGUGAAGAAGGCCUUCGGGUUGUAAAGCUCUUUCGGCCGGGAAAAAAUCGCACGGGCUAAUACCCUGUGUGGAUGACGGUACCGGAAUAAGAAGCACCGGCUAACUACGUGCCAGCAGCCGCAGUAAAAC